UAGCGUAGGGGGCAAGCGUUGUCCGGAUUUAUUGGGCGUAAAGAGCGUGUAGGCGGCUAGGUAGGUCCGUUGUGAAAACUCGAGGCUCAACCUCGAGACGUCGAUGGAAACCAUCUGGCUAGAGUCCGGAAGAGGAGAGUGGAAUUCCUGGUGUAGCGGUGAAAUGCGCAGAUAUCAGGAAGAACACCCGUGGCUAAGGCGGCUCUCUAGUACGGUACUGACGCUGAGACGCGAAAGCGUGGGGAGCGAACAGG
rnacentral:rRNA from 1 species